GUUUUUUUUUUUUUUUUUUUUAAAUCUCAAUGAUGGUAACAGAGGAAACUUUGCGUUUUAUUAAAAACAGAGCAGAAAGCAAAAGUCUCUUCCAGGCCUGGUGGAAUGGACUGACGCGGUCUGGGGAGCACUCCUCCUGCUCUUCACUGGGGGAAACAGAGAAAUCAGUUUAAUCUCUUUUUUUUCCCCUCCAGUGACUUGUGACGCCAGGCAGGAGAAGCGAGUCGUCAAAGAAAACUCACCGGGCAGAUCGGCUGGCGGAAGUCAGCUGCCGGUGGGGAGGCGCCCUCUGCGGGGAUGAGGUCAUCGCCACCUUUGACUCGGUGAUCCCAGAUAACCGACCAGGCUUUUCCAGGCUCAGGUGCCUGGGGACUUCCUCCUUCUCCACCUGGUCCCCGGUGCCUGAACCCAAAGGACAGAAUUCCUCGCAUGCUCCUUGGAUAGAAAAAGAGGAACUAGUAGUGUAAACCAAGCGACCAACCCACUAGACCCCAAACCUGCUCACCAGUAGCCCGUUUCUUGGUCGUGGGUCGGGUGUACACUCCGAAAGGGAUGCUAGUAAGUUCAUGGAAAGGCUCGAGAGUCGGAAAAGAAGAAAGAAACGAACUGCCAACGCUUCAGUUAACAGACUCUCAGACAAACGCAAAGGCUCAUCAAUCCACCUUCCAGCAACAGCCACUGCCUAGAGAAACUUCUAGACUCUGAUUCCUUCAGAGGGUGGAAAGCAUACAACCAAUAAAUCAGAAAAACUGUUACUGUCACUA
ensembl:lincRNA